rnacentral:rRNA from 1 species
UACGUAGGGUGCAAGCGUUGUCCGGAAUUAUUGGGCGUAAAGAGCUCGUAGGCGGUCUGUCACGUCGGCUGUGAAAACCCGAGGCUCAACCUCGGGCCUGGCAGUCGAUACGGGCAGACGUAGAGUUCGGUAGGGGAGACUGGGAAUCAUGGUGUAGCAGUGAAAGCGUGAGAUCAUGAGGAAGACCAGUGGCGGAAGGCCGG